rnacentral:rRNA from 1 species
CCUACGGGUGACAGCAGUGAGGAAUAUUGGUCAAUGGCCGAGAGGCUGAACCAGCCAAGUCGCGUGAGGGAAGACGGCCCUACGGGUUGUAAACCUCUGUUGUCGGGGAGCAAAGCGAACCACGUGUGGUUCAUUGAGAGUACCCGAAGAAAAAGCAUCGGCUAACUCCGUGCCAGCAGCCGCGGUAAUACGGAGGCUGCGAGGGUUAUCCGGAUUUGUUGGGGUUAAGGGGUGCGCAGGCGGAGGUGCAAGUCAGCGGUCAAAUUGCGGGGCUCAACCCCGUACUGCCGUUGAAACUGCAUCCCUUGAGUGCGCGAGAAGUAGGCGGAAUGCGUGGUGUAGCGGUGAAAUGCAUAGAUAUCACGCAGAACUCCGAGUGCGAAGGCAGCAUACCGGCGCGCCACUGACGCUCAUGCACGAAAGCGUGGGUAUCGAACAGGAUUAGAUACCCCAGUAGUC